rnacentral:lncRNA from 1 species
GGUAAAUCUAUGUUUCAUUAACUUUGGGGGCGAACCCUAUAUUGCAGUUUGGGGAUUUUUAAGUUGCAGGUGCCACUGCCACCGCCGGCUAGAUUUGUAUUGUCUGGCGCAGAUCCUGGAGUUGACUAGCCCUUAUGUAUCUUCUAUGUAGCCAGAGUUCAAGUGCAUCUUGCAGCGGCAUCAUGCAGGUACGGAAUCCAGAGAACAUCAUCUGUAAUGGGGAAGCAGAUGACAUGGGUUUCGUUUGUGGGGUGCAAAUCACAUGGGGUUUCGCAAUUGCUUAUUUUCCGUAGUGAUCCGUUCUGCCUGCCUUGUUACAGGAUUCAGGCACACCAUGGCAUUUCCUGUCGAAAUACUGACAGUCUGAAUUCGACAAUAUGUAAAGCUCAUCAAUUCAUAAGGGCUAUUAACAGACUAAGGUGUGCCUAAAUGUAUCAUUGCUUUAGCCUGAUUUUUUUUUUUUUGGUAUACAUGCACACUGCCCAAAAUGCGUUGAAUUUAGGCUGAAUGGAUUUAGUGCCAGAUGGAGCACAAUAGAUGUUGUGUUUUGCCUCUAGGUAUUUUUUUUUAUCUUUCCAUUCAUUUGGGUUUCAUAAACCAGCUGGGUCAUGACUUCCGAUGUUCAGUACAAAAGGUUCAUUUAGUGAUAUCGCAGUUUGACCAGCGCCGGCGGUGAGCAGAUGCGAGUGAACUUUGCGAAGAAGGUGAUCUGACUUGACCGCGCCAUUGCUAUAUUCGACUCUGGAUACAAAUCUUGUACAGCUUGACGGGAGGCAGAGAGCAGACCAGAGUCAGUCCAACCUGGAUAAUCAUGCAGGUACUGUAUUCUUGCCCCAGUAUCAGUCGCAGUGUACAUGGGCUUGGUUGUGAAAGCUCUUGGCGCCGAUGACUAGACUUUGCAGAUUGCAUCUCUGAUGUGCAAAGUACAACCAUGUACUCCUUGGAUGCAAGAUACUACAACAUUGGUUGUUUUUGUUCAGUGGAGAGUGCGACACGAUUGAUGAUGUGUGUAGCACGAUUGCGACAAUACCUCCAUGUCCAUCUAUUCUAAUGUUUAUGGAAAUUAUACUGAUUUGAAGGUUGUUGGCUAUAAUCGGGAUUUAGGGGCUUAACAUGUCAGCAGUAUCGUACUUGAAGUACCACAAAAAUGCAUGUUUCAUCGUAUCUGCCAGCGGCUCCGUUUAUGCUAUUCACGGCAUAUUGUUGAUUUAUCUCUGUUUCGU